rnacentral:rRNA from 1 species
CUUUAUUGGAGAGUUUGAUCCUGGCUCAGGAUGAACGCUGGCGGCGUGCCUAAUACAUGCAAGUCGAGCGAAUGGAUUAAGAGCUUGCUCUUAUGAAGUUAGCGGCGGACGGGUGAGUAACACGUGGGUAACCUGCCCAUAAGACUGGGAUAACUCCGGGAAACCGGGGCUAAUACCGGAUAACAUUUUGAA